AAUGUCUGGGAAACUGCCCGAUGGGGGGGGAUAACUACUGGAAACGGUAGCUAAUACCGCAUAAUGUCGCAAGACCAAAGAGGGGGACCUUCGGGCCUCUUGCCAUCGGAUGUGCCCAGAUGGGAUUAGCUAGUAGGUGGGGUAACGGCUCACCUAGGCGACGAUCCCUAGCUGGUCUGAGAGGAUGACCAGCCACACUGGAACUGAGACACGGUCCAGACUCCUACGGGAGGCAGCAGUGGGGAAUAUUGCACAAUGGGCGCAAGCCUGAUGCAGCCAUGCCGCGUGUAUGAAGAAGGCCUUCGGGUUGUAAAGUACUUUCAGCGAGGAGGAAGGC
rnacentral:rRNA from 1 species